rnacentral:misc_RNA from 1 species
AAGUCGUAACAAGGUAACCGUAGGUGAACCUGCGGUUGGAUCAUUACUGAUUUCUUCUGUUCUUUUGGGGCUCACGCCCUGGAGGAACAGGAUAGUCACCCCCCCCUGUGAACUUGUAACGUAUCUGGAGUUGGCUCCGCUAUUAGUGUGGAAAGGGAAUUUGGCUAACCUGGCUUGAUUUUGAAGAUUGGCCUUGGCGCGAGAAGGAGAGCAGUUCUGCUUUUCUUUGAGCAACAAGGUGGAUUGACAAGGUUGGGCCCGGCCAAGUUUCUGGAACACAUGAAGGGGCCUUCGCCAACUGUAUCCACACCUAGUGUUUUAUGUAUUUUAUGUCUCCAUGCGAUUCAAUUGAGAAACGCGUAUUUAAUUAUACAACUUUUGACAACGGAUCUCUUGGCUCUC